ensembl:lncRNA
AUGAUUCUAACCCAGGUAAAACUAAGUAAAGGUUUCUAGUAGUGCACAUACUGUGUUGGGAGUAAUGUCUGCAUAUCCUCUAGGCUGUUAUAGACCUUGGCGAUGAAGCCGAUUCCAGAUUGGCCAGUUUACAGAGACAAGGACAACAUUUAUGUUCUUAUAAAGAGCUUGAGAAUGAGAGGAGGAGCCACAUUCAUCAAACCCAGAGUGCAGUAGAGGAGGAGUGGAGGAAAGUGCUACAACUUGCCCAGGAGCUCAAGAACCAGGUCAAACAUGAGGAAUCUCUCUACAGAGAGUUACAAACUUUCUGUGAUCAGGGAGAGGACACUCAAUCCUGGAUUAGACAUCUCAGAGAGACCCUGGAUUCCCUUCAUGUGGCAUCUUCCAUUCAAGAGAGGCUUAAUGGAGUUGAGGCAUUACUAGCUCAUAGAUCUGAGGGGGACUAUAAACUUUCUGACUUAAAGAUGAAGGGAGAGAAUCUAUGUUCCUGUGAAGAUCUAGAGGAGGACAAACGUCAGACAAUCCAACACACAUUACAAAAUGUACAGCAAGAGUGGAUGGGAGUUUUGAUGCAGGCUCAGGAACUGAAGAACCAAUCAGACCUUGAGGAUUCUCUUUCUAAGGACCUUCAGGAUCUUCAAGAAGUGGAGGAGAACACUCAGUCUUGGCUCAAACAGCAGCAUCUGAAGACUGAAUUGCUAGGUCAAGAGACUCAGUUACAAGAGAGAAUGCAUGGAGCUCAGGUAAGAGACAAAGAGUGAUAUUCAACCUUCACCAAAUAUGUACUUAAAGAAAACAGUCUGGCUUACUUGCUGACAUUGUUUGUUUCCUACAGGCCAUCCUGAAUUCAGAAUCAGAAGGGGAUUACAAACUAGCCAACCUGAGGAGGAAAGCAGAGGGUUUGUUUUCUCGAGAAGGCCUGGAGGAGAAAAGAAAACAGGAAAUCCAGCUGAACCUAAGAUCCAUUGAAGAAGAAUGGAAGAAUGUCCUGGCAAGUGCUCAAGAACUCAAGAACCAGGCUGAGCUCCAGGAUUCUCUUGCAAGGGAGCUUCAGAAUGUCUAUACCCAGGAGGCGAGCACCUGGACCUGGGUGAAGAACCAGAAAGAUGGCCUGGACUCAUUGGGGAAAAGCACUCAUGGUACACAGGAGCAGAUUGAGGAGAGACUAAGUAAAGCACAAGUAAGUAGUAAAAUAUAGAGAAACAGAAGAAGAAAUUAAAUGUCUUCAGUAAAACACUUAUUAAAAGUAGUUAAACUGCAUUGCACGUGAUCAACAAAAAUGUGACGGUCAAGAACAAGCAUUCCUCUCUGUCUUUCAGGCAAUUCUAAGUCUGCACUCUGAGGGCAACUCUAAGAUUACAGCCCUGAAAUGGACAAUAGAUCAUCUUUCUAACCGUCAAGAUCUUGAUGAAGAUGCAAGACAUCCUCUUAUUAAGAAGAUGAAAAAUCUAGAGGAGGAGUGGAAGACAACACUGCAGCAAGCACAGGAGCUGCAUAGGUUUGAUAUGAUAACUCUGUAUGUAAAAAUUGAUUGCACAAAACACUGCUAGAUUAUAAAAAAUGAAUUGCAAAUAAUCAUAUUUAUAAAUAUAUUUCAAACCCAUGUACUCAUAUCAUAUAUUACUCCUCAUUCUGCAGUCUGCUGAAAAGUGUAAGGGAACGUCUGGUGUCCUGUCAGUGUCAGAAGGACCAGCUUCAGUCUCGUCUGGAGCAGGUGAAACAGCAGACUGCUGCACUGCCGCGGCACUUCCCCUGGCCUGGUUUAGGGGAUCGAAGGCAAACAUUGGAGCAAGCCAAGAGUCUGCUAGAUCGUACCAGAGCCCUAACCCCAUCUCUGUCUGCUGUCCGAGCACUUGGGAGGGAGAUGAGCCAGCUGACCCAUGAUUCCAGCUGGAUUGAUCCAUCCUGGGCCACCAUAGAGGAGUGCAUACCUGAGUUAAUCAAAGAUCUUACGGUAAGGCUGAAGAGGUGUGCUGUGCUAAAUAUUUCUGAAUAAUCAUGACCAAUAGAUAAUAGAAACGUGUAUGACAUUCUUCUUCUCUUCAUUCUUUUUUUAUGUGUGUUUGAGUAGGAACUUUGUGUAAAUCUCAAAGAGGAAAUCCGGAGAGAGAGAGUUUGUGCUCAGUUAGUUGAGCAGCACACUGUAGCACAGGAUUGGCUGAGAGAGCAAGUCAAAGGUUUCGGUGCUCUGCCCACUGAACGUCAUGGGUUACAAAGCUCUGUCAACACUCUUAAGGUCUGUUUUUAUAUAUAUAGAUUUAGAUUUAGAUUUAGAUUUAAUAGAUUUUUCAGUUCUUUGGCAAACCUGUUAAUAAAUAAAAUUAUAUUUUUUUAUUAUAAUUUUGU